GACUCUUAUCGGCGGAUCUUGAUUACUGAAGCCAAUUUAGUGGAACAUUUUAAUUUUUAAUAAACCCGCCUCGCCUACUUGGCCGUUUCAUUUUACGCAAACAUGCCCCGGCAUUCACUUGCUUUAAUUUUUGUUGCGUUUUCGGCGGAUAUUAUUUUUGUGUACAGGAACAAUGAUGAUGAUGAAAUAUAUUAAAAAUGUUAGUUACCCCAUCGUGGCAUUUUAAGCGGCUAUACCGCGCUCAUAUUCAAGCCUUUGGUGUAACAUAACCAUAAUACAAUCCGCUCAUUACAAGAAAAUAUAAAGUGAUAAGGCUGCCUGAACUCGAACGAAUAUAACCGGAUAUUCUAAUGAAUUUACCAAAAUAUAAGUGACAUAAAACUAAGAAAGGAAAUAUUUUAGCAA